rnacentral:rRNA from 1 species
ACGCUCGACACCUACGGGAGACAGCAGUCGGGAAUAUUGCGCAAUGGAGGGAACUCUGACGCAGUGACGCCGCGUAUAGGAAGAAGGUUUUCGGAUUGUAAACUAUUGUCGUUAGGGAAGAGAAAGGACAGUACCUAAGGAGGAAGCUCCGGCUAACUACGUGCCGNAGCCGCGGUAAUCUGAGCGGGCUGGCAAGGC